rnacentral:rRNA from 1 species
CAGUAGCCGCGGUAAUACGUAGGGUGCGAGCGUUAAUCGGAAUUACUGGGCGUAAAGCGUGCGCAGGCGGUUGUGUAAGACAGGUGUGAAAUCCCCGGGCUUAACCUGGGAACUGCGCUUGUGACUGCACAGCUAGAGUAUGGCAGAGGGGGGUGGAAUUCCACGUGUAGCAGUGAAAUGCGUAGAGAUGUGGAGGAACACCAGUGGCGAAGGCGACUCUCUGGUCUGUAACCGACGCUGAUGCACGAAAGCUAGGGGAGCAAACAGGAUUAGAUACCCCCGUAGUCCCUGUCUCUUAUAC